AGUUCCUACGGGACGCAGCAGUGGGGAAUAUUGCGCAAUGGGGGCAACCCUGACGCAGCAACGCCGCGUGAUUGAAGAAGGCCUUCGGGUUGUAAAGAUCUUUAAUCGGGGACGAAUUUUGACGGUACCCGAAGAAUAAGCUCCGGCUAACUACGUGCCAGCAGCCGCGGUAAUACGUAGGGAGCAAGCGUUAUCCGGAUUUACUGGGUGUAAAGGGAGCGUAGACGGUUCUGCAAGUCUGAAGUGAAAGCCCGUGGCUUAACCGCGGAACGGCUUUGGAAACUGUGGAACUGGAGUGCUGGAGG
rnacentral:rRNA from 1 species